rnacentral:lncRNA from 1 species
ACCCUGUUCCCAGACCCGGGUGGUGGUCUGGGGGGUUGGAAGGGGCGGGAAGGGCGCUGUCUUAAGAAUCAUCCUCACAUCUCAGGGCUUCGCCCCUCGAGGGAGGUGACCCUUGGCCACCCUCUGCGCAGUUCUCCCUGAAAGGUCAUGCCACGUCUUAGCACUCUGGUCCCUGCGCCCCUGCAGGCCUCGCGGAUCCCCCACUUGUCUCGACGCAGGGGACGCCCACUUGUCUGACGCAGGGGACGUGGCUGAAGUCAGUCGGGCCGCCCGCUUGCUGCACGGCAGCCGUGGGACUGGCACAGGCUCCUCGGCAGCAUUAUGGGCAGCUGGUAGAGCGGCCACUUCUGAGAGCCGGAUGGGCCUUCCGAGGUCGGGCCGUGCCCCGCUGGGCAGCGCAGAGGGGGUGUGUAGGGCACGCGACUUGGAGCCAGGUCCAGACCCAUCCUGGCUCCUCUCAGGGCUCCUUCCCCUGCCCCCAUUCCACCCCAGCCCUGCUGGCUGUCCCGCAGGACCCAGCGCCGCGGUAGCCUUCUCUGAACUGCGGCUCAGGCGGAGGUGUCACUCCUGCCUCCAGCCCAGGAGGGCAGGUCAGGUUAUGCAACGCGUGCCGCGCGAUCUCCCCCCACCUCCAACCCCCUUUUCUCCCGGGUCCACACCGCAGUUCCCACCGCUCCGGGUGUCCUCCCCAGUGCGCCGCGAUUUUUGUGUCCAAGCCCCAGAGUCCCUCUGAGACCAACCCCCAGCCAGCACAGACUUCCUGCCUUCCCAGCUCGGGUAGAGACAGCUCCGGGCCGGGGGUGGAGGAUGGUGCGGUGGGGAGGAGGCAAGGAAAUUCCCAGCCUUCCUGCGCGAACCUGGGAGACCAGCAGGCACCUGGUCUCGUCCCGCUGGGUCCCCUCCGCACCCAAGACUGUCUUCCCAAGUGGCUUACUCCACAGAAGGAAUGUCGUCAGCUGAUUAUAUCUGAUUAGCAUCCAGUUCCGACGACUCAUCCCUUAAAACGGAUGUGGUCUCAUUAGGUUGCCCAAGCUGGACUUGUACUCUUGGCCUCAAGAGGUCCUUCCAUCUCAGUCUCCCAAGUAGCUGGGACUACAAGCAUGCACCACUACACUCAGCCAAAUACUUUCAAUAAUUUGCCAGCUGACAACUUGAUUGGGUUCUCCUUCAGGUUUGAAGCGCCCUCGAGAAGUGUCUAAAGGAGACAGUUGAUAGCCAAACAACAGUUUUGGAUUCACUGACUGAUUAUGAAAGAAGCAGUAGACUGGUAUCAAGAAUCAGUCAGCAAGGAGGCCCUCACCAGACGCCAGUGCCAUGUUCUUGGACUUCUCAGCCUCCAUAUUCAUGAACUAAGUUUUUGGAAUCCUUAGGCUUCCACGUGUGGAAAGCCUGAGCUAACCUACUGGAGGAUGAGCCAUCACCUGGAGCAGAUUCAGGCCAUCCUAGUUGAAGCCUCCCUAGGCCAAGCAACCGUCCAACUACCAGACAUUGACCAUUCAGCCUUGAACAUUCAGCACAAAGACAAAACAGACCAGACCAGAAGAGUCCCACAGAAUAGGGGAAACUAUUCAGAGAAAACUUAAGCCACUAAGUUUUAUGGUGUUUUGUUCUGUAGCAGAAGCAUAGGCAUACUGACAAUACAAACCGAAAUCCUUCUAACGUAGUGGACCUUUUCAGGCCAGCAUUUUUUCCUUGAAAACCUGGAGCAUGUAUCCAUCUUAUAGCAGAGAUCACUUUCACAAUGUUUGGGCUCUUGAUUUGAAUUGAUGAUGUAAUGAGCCCUCUAUCCAGAUUGUAACUAAUUACUCUGCGAAUUGACUGGAUUCCACACCCUUCUAAUAUUUUACUUUUCCUCUUUUAUCAACUCUCAUUCUUGCUGCCAUGAUCAAUGGACCAACUAUGCUUAUAACCACAAAUUUUGAUAUGCUUAAACAAAUGAACAAAUAUAUUUAAUAAUUUCUUUUUUUUUUUUGAAAUAGUAUCUUGCUCUGUCACCCAGGCUGCAGUGCAGCAGCGUGAUCUCAGCUCACUAUAACCUCCACCUCCCGGGUUCAAGUGAUUCUCCUGCCUCAGCCUCCCAAGUAGCUGGGACUACAGGCGCCCACCACCAUACCUGGCUAAUUUUUUGUAUUUUUAGUAGAGACAGGGUUUAUCCAUGUUGGCCAGGCUGGUCUCAAACUCCUGACCUCAAGUGAUCCUCCUGCCUCGGCCUCCCAAAGUGCUGGGAUUACAGGUGUGAGCCACCAUGCCCAGCCAAUAAUUUCCUGAUAUAAUAAAAAUGCCAAUACUAUACAAUUAAAUAGUAAAGUGAUAAAAAAUAGGAUAACAUGAUAACCACUAAUUAAUAUAUACUACAUAAUCAUCCUUUUCGUGAGUUGAAAUGUUCUUUUAGCACACUUUAUGGUUUAUCCUUUCUGGAAUACUAUUAUAUGAUCAUGAUUUUUCUCACACUUGUUCCAGUGAAAUAUACUUUUAGGUGUUUCCUUUGUAUUGUUCAAACUGUAAUAUCUCCAGUGGAAGAUUUUUUAAGCUUGUUCUUGUCUUGUCAGUGUCACCCACAUAGUCAUAGUCUGAAAGCAUUUUGCUUUCUGGAAAUAAGAUAUUAUAGGCACCAAGUUAUGGAAUUAUCUACUUUUCACCAAGCCUUCAUUCUUUCAGUGCUGUAUUAGAGACCUCAUUUAGGGUUCUAAGGGUGCAUAUCAAAUUGUUCCAUGAGUCUAAAAUGGAUAAUUCUUCUGUGGGCCAUUUUUAGUGCUAGAGCUAGAAAAGUUAUACUUUUAAAAGGUAAAUAGCUCACAAUGAUUUUGCAAUAUAAUUCCCACUUUACCCAAUUAUUAACUGCUGUUUGAAUAUAAAAAUAUUUUUAAACUUUUUUAUUUACAACAUAUCUAUUUAAAUUCAAUACAGCAUUCCCAAAUAAAUAUAGCAGAAGUGGGAGUUUCAAGUUACUAAACAUGUCAGUCACAAUUUAUGGAGCCGAUUGAAAGAUGGAGAAAUAUUACUGUAUUAGUUUCUUCUCACAUUGCUAUAAAGAAAUAUCUAAGACUGGGUAAUUUAAGAAGGAAAGAGGUUUAAUUGGAUCAUGGUUCCACAGGCCAUACAGAAAGCAUGAUGCUGGCAUUUUCUCAGCUUCUGGGGAGGCCUCAGGAAAUUUACAAUCAUGGAUGGGAAGGGGAGCAAGCACUUCACAUGGCCAGAGCAGAAGGAAGAGAGAGAGGCGGAGGUGCCUCACACUUUAAAACAACCAGAUCUCAUGAGAACUCUAUCUCUAUCAUGAGAACAGCACCAAAAGGGGAAAUCUGCCCCCAUGAUCCAAUCAUCUCCCACCAGGCCCCACCUCCAACACUGGGGAUUGUAAUUGAACAUGAGAUUUGGGUGGGGACACAGAUACAAACCAUAUCAUUCCACUCCUGGCCCCACUCAAAUCUCAAGUCCUUCUCACAUUGAGAAAUACAAUCAUGCCUUCCCAACAGUUGCUCAAAGUGUUAACUCAUUCCAACAUUAACUCAAAAGUCCAAAGUCUCAUCUAAGACAAGACUAGUCUCUUCCAUCCAUAAGUCUGUAAAAUCAAAAAAAAGUAAGUUACUUCCAAGAUACAAUGGGGAUAUAGGCAUUUGGUAAAUAUUCCAACUCCAAAAGGGAGAAAUCAACUAAAAGAAAGGGGCUACAGGCCCCAUAAAAGUCUGAAAUCCAGCAGGGCAGUCAUUAAAUCUUAAAGCUUCAAAAUAAUCUUUGACAUUAUGUCCCACAUCCAGGGCACACUUGUGCAAGGGGUGGGCUCCCAAAUCCUUGGGCAACUCUGCCCCUGUGGCUUUCCAGGGGUCAGCCCCCAUGGCUGCUCUUAAGGGCUGGCAUUGAGUGCUUGCAAUUUUUCCAGGCACAUGGUGGCAAGCUGUCAGUGGCUCUGCCAUUCCAGGGUCUGGAAGAUGGUGGCCUUCUUCUCAACUGCCUAUCUAUUAGGCAGUUCCCCAGUGGGUACUCUAUGUGGGGGCUCCAACCCCACAUUUCCCCUCUGCAUUGCCCUAGUAGAGGUUCUCCAUGAGGGCUCCACCCCUGCAGCAGGCUUUUACCUGGACAUCCAAGUGUUUCCAUACAUCCUCUGAAAUCUAGAUGGAGGCUCCCAAGCCUCAAUUCUUGUACUCUGUGCACCUUCAGGCUUAACACCACAUGGAAGCUGCCAAAGCUUAUGGCUCACACCCUCUGAAGCAGUAGCCGGAGCUGUACCUGGGCCCCUUUUAGCCAUGGCAUUCUCAAAGAAUGUUGAGAGAGAUGGCUGGAGGUGGAGUGGCUGGGAUGCAGGGAGCAGUGUUCUAAGGCUACAUAAGGCAGCAGGGCCCUGGGCCCAGCCAAGGAAACUAUUCUUCCCUCCUAGGACUCUGGACCCGUGAUGGGAGAGGCUGCUGCAAAGGUCUCUGAAAUGCCUUGGAACCCUUUUCUCCAUCGUCUUGUCUAUCAAUAUUUGCCUUCCUUUUAGUUAUGCAAAUUUAUGCAGCCUUCUUGAAUUCCUCCCCAGAAAAUAGGCUUCUCUUUUCUACCACAUGGCUGGGCUGCAAAUUUUCCAAACUUGUACUCUCUGCUUCCCUUUUAAAUAUAAGUUCCAGUUUCAGAUCUUUUCUUUGCUCACACAUAUGAGUAUAUGUUGUUAGAAGAAGCAGCCAGACCACAUCUUGAACAUUUCGCUGCUUAGAAAUUCCUUCUACCAGAUACCCUAAAUCAUCUCUCUCAAAUUUAAAGUUCCACAGAUCCCUAGAGCAAGGGCACAAUGCAGUCAGUUUCUUUACUAAAUCAUAGCAAAAAUGACCUGUGCUCCAGUUCCCAAUAAGAUCCUCAUCUCCAUCUGAUACCUCCUCAGCCUGGACUUCAUUAUCAGCAUUUUGGUCACAAUAAUUUGACAAGUCUCUAGGAAGUUCUAAACUUUCCCUCAUCUUCCUGUCUUUUUCUGAGCCUCCACAUUCUUCCAACUUCUGCCAGUUACCCAAUUCCAAAGAUGCUUCCACAUUUUCAGGUAUCAUUAUAGCAACGCCCCACUCGUCAGUACCAAUUUUCUGUAUUAGUCUGUUCUCACAUUGCUACAAAUACCUGAGACUAGGUAAAUUUAUAAAGAAAAGAGGUUCUGCAGGUUGUAUAGGAAGCAUAAUGGCUUCUGCUUCUAGGAAGGCCUCAGGAAACUUACAGUCAUGGUGGAAGGCAAAGGAGAAGCAAGGAUUUCACAUGGCUGGAGCAAUUACCCAAAGGGAGAAUGCCACCAAAUUCUACAAGUGAUUAGCUUUUAUUUCUAGGAGGCAAAAAACAGGUGGCUUAUGCCUGUAAUCUCAGCACUUUGGGAGGCCAAGGUGGGCAGAUCAAAAGGUUAGGAGAUUGAGAUUUAUGGAGCUUUUUUUGCCUAAACCACUUACCUUCUUAGCAUAGGGACUUUUAAAAAUUCUGAUUAUCAGAAUAUGGCUGAGAGAUGUCAGAACCAUUUUUCUCAAAUAUGAAUUCUUAGCAGGAAUAGAAAUUGCAAUUUUUUAAUUUUUAAUUUUAAGAGGAAUUAGUGCCAGAGAGAACUAUUAAGAAAGGGGUAUAUCCAGUCUAAGGAUUAUUAGGCUCAAGUCCAUGAAUAGGCUCUGGGAAGUUUGUAAACACUUGGAAAUUAUUUGCAAAAUGUGUGUGUGAAUGUGCUUUACCUUAGAGAGUUCAUGAAUUUCAUUAGAUUGUUGAAAGAGUUUUAGUAUUAACAAAGGAAAAACAAACCACCACCAUCACAUAACAAAACCACAACAGUGAUUUAAUCUUUUCACCUAACAAUAAGUAAAUUGAGGCUCUGAUGGCUAAAUUAAUAGCCUGAGGCUACACAGUCAGUGGCAGAGCCCAGGGUAAAGAGAGAACCAGCACAGCCAUUGUGGGAGCCGAGGGUAAAGAGAGAGCUAGGUGUUGUACUUAGUAAAUAAAUCAGAAAUUCCUAACUCUUAGGCUGGAGUUCUUCCUGUUAUGUGAAGCCAAAGUAGGGAAUCAUUAGGUCCAAGAAUAGGAAUUACAUUUAUAUUUUAAUGAAAAGGUGCAGUAAAAUUUAAAGGAAGAGAGAGGGUUGCAGAUGACAGAAUACAAAGAAUGUUGAGAGAGAUGAAGCAAGAUGAGUCCAUAGAAUCAGAGGCUUAGAAGUAAUUCCUAUUUAUGAAAGGGAGUGAGAACAAUGUGGUGAGGUGUAUAGAGCUAUGUGAAAGUGCUUGUCAAUAACAUGGCUGCAGAAUGCUGAUGGUGGUAAUUGAAAAGGAAGUAAAAUAUAAAAACAUUUGCAGAAUAUUUCUUUUUUUUUUUCUCUUUUUCUUUUCUUUCUUUUUUUUUUUUUUUUGAGGCAGAGUCUCGCUCUGUCGCCCAGGCUGGAGUGCAAUGGCGCUAUCGUGGCUCAUUGCAAGCUCC